AUUUUCAUCACCACCGGCACGAUCACCGCUACCUCAAUCGACUAAAUUCUCAAUUUUAAGUUGGUUUUGUAACUUAGUUGUUCUUUUUAAUUUGUCGAAAUGACUUCUUUUUCUGUUAAAUUUUCAGCUACUUCACUUCCAAAUUCUAAUAGAUUUUCCAAACUUCAUGCUACUCCACCGCAGACGGUGGCGGUACCGUCGUACGGGGCGGCGGAGAUAGCUGCUGAAAGACUAGAGCCUA
rnacentral:misc_RNA from 1 species